AACAGACAAACCAAACACUGGCUCUACAGUGGGCCUUUCGCAGCCACUGUAGCUUCUGCUACACACUUGGAAGUGCUGUGGCCAGUGGCUCAAUCAGGCUUGUUCACUUUACCGCAAAGGACAUCUAGUGGUUACACAUCCAACCGACUCACUCUGUCUCCACUGCCUUCUAUCUGCAGCCUGCACAACCUCACAGAAGUAAUUGUCUAAGACCUCUCCUCUGAGAGGAGGUGCCUCCUUGCAACCCUGCAUUAUUGUCGCCUUUUUGAAGUACGGCAAGAAAAAAAGGUAACACCUGGCCCUCAGGAGUCGUCUGCAGCGGGUUACAAGUGGAGAGGCCCCUGACAGAGAUGGAGACACAAAGAAGCAUAGAUAGUAUCAAGAGGUGGUGGAUUUUGUGAUGUGUGAGUAAUGCUAUGGUUAUUGUCUGUGGAUCUACACCAAUGAUGGAUGUCAUAAAAAUAUAUACCAUACUUAGCAACAGUGUUGGGCUCCAACAACCCUAAAGAAGAGCACCACAUGUUGUCAGGAGAGACAUUUUAGGGAAGUAAGUGAUGGAGUAAGUCAGGCUGUGACUGCAGCAUGAAUGUAUUGUGCAAAGGCAGGGAUUCACUACCAUCUGCAUUCACAUAUCAAACAUUUCUUUGACAUCAGAAGACAUUAAAAGACUCUUAAUGGGCUUUGCGCUCUUAUGUACCUGUUUCUGACUUCAUUAAAAUCCUUUCUAUAUACUGAGUAUAUGCAGGAUGGAUGAGUGUUGCAAAUACAUUGUACUUGCAAGAUGAAGUCUUAAGAAAUCAUUUUUAAGAGCCGUUGGUAUAAUAAAACCAGUUUAGCUCCCUCAUGUUCUUUAUACAACUGUGCUUUUUUUAUCCAGCUGGUA